AGUGGCUGGGAGCUGAGGUUUUGGUUGCCGUCAGUUCGGGUUGAGGCGAAAAGGACUUGAUGAGGCGUUUGGGUUAUGGAAUUGCGUUUUGAGGUAGGGGCGCUUUCCAAAAACUAUGUUUUGUGUAUUGGAAUUAUUAUAUAUGGAUACUGGUGCGAGAUAUUGUGUAUUUGGUGAUUGUACUGCCUUAUGUAUUAUUUGAUUGACUCAAAUGACUAUGGAUGUUGGUUUGGCUGAAUUGUUGUGCGGCUUUGUGAAAUGUAAUGUCUGAAGUUGAUUCUUUAAAGAUUUGAAAUAUGAGUUUAAUUCGUUGAGGAUUGGUUUGAAUUGAGUCAAUUAUUUUGAUGAUGUGAAAGAUACAAUACUCUUGAAAUUCAGCCUGGGUUGCUUUAAUUGAUUUGGUUUUGAUAAAUGAUUUAUUGUUGAACCGAUUCUUUAAAGAUUUGGAAAUGAGUUAAAUCGGUUGAUAUUGAGUUGAUUUUGAAAUGGUUUUCUUGAGAUAUGCCACUGAGGCGACUGUUGGAUUUAGCUUGCUUUGAAUUGAUUUCUGGUUUUGAGCUGUUGAAAAGGAAUGAGAAACGGUUUAGUUGGGACCCGAACUGGGUGGCAAAAGUCCAAGUUUUAGGGGAGGUGCUGCCGAAAUUUCUACGAAAUCCUAGUCUUGUUUAAAAAAGUUAUUUAAAAAGGAUUGGAUUUGAGAAGUACUAUUUGAUUUAUUAAGAGAAUAUUUAUAUUUUCAAGCUUAAUUUAUUUAGUGAACUUUAUGCCUUGAGUUUGACUUAUUUAGGAAUGAACUAUUUUUACCGUUUGAAUCACCGAAGGAAAGAAUGAUGCUCUAAUAUUGAUUUCAAUAUAAAAAGGAGCUUUUAGUGAUUUCAAAGGAAUCUAGAUUUUUGAUUGAGUAAUUAAGUUUGAGGCAUUUUGGAAGAGUUAGAAAAAUGGGUUCCAAAAAGAAACCUGAAAGUGGUUUGAUUUAAAUGAACCGGUUCCUUUUCAAAUGAGUUGGUUCUUGGACCGGGUUGGAACUUGUGAUUUUGUAUGGUUGGUUUCAUAAUAAAUUCAGUUUUAUUUACUUGAACCGAGAAUCCAUGAUUUUAAGAGUUUCAAUGAAUUUUAAGGAAUUGAUAUAGUCUGACCUUCCCUAAAGACUUGGGACUCUGCCGAGAAACUUUUGUUAUAAAAUCUCAUUGUUGUAUGGGUGAUUUUGAAUACUUUGAAAUAAAUCCUUAACUUGCCAUGGUUUUGGAAGUUUUGGAAAGAGAAUGCCGAUAGUGGCUUUGUUUUAAAAAGGGAACUCACUUUGAGUAAAUUUGGCUUAUGAGCCUAAGAUGAUUUGAGAAAUGAGAUCUUUAAAGCCAAGGCUGAAAAGAGUUGAAAUUUGAUUUCAAAGUGAAAUAGCUUGAGAAAAGUGAUUUGUGGCUUAAAUGCCGGUUUUAUGAAUUUGAUGAUGUUGAAUGGUGGAAGUGCUGUUUUAUUGUGGGCCGGAAAUGUUUCUGUCCAUGGUUAGCUACCAGGACGUGUCGGGUUGGCUAUAUAACCGACAGAUGAUAUCAUCAGCCACUAGGGACAGGCAUGCAUCAUAUGCAUCUAUGUGACAUUGUUUGGAUGUGCAUAUUAUACUUGGUUUGCCUAUGUGAUUAAUUGCUAAUUGUUCUACUUGCAAUAACUGUUUGUUUGUGCUUGCAUCUUCCUAUUUGUGUUUGCUACUGGGACUCUGUUGGAUUGUGGUGAUUGGUUGAUGGUUGAAUUGUUUGGGCCUAGAGCCGUGGUUGGAAUGAGAUGAACCGAUGGUUGAUUUCGAUUUUGUGUUUCUGGUUUGGAAUAAAAUAUGAAAGGCUAUUUUGGUUCAGCAUAAAUAAACCGUUUUGAAAGGCUUUUGAGUUUUUGAGAAUUGAACGGUCCUCCUUUCAGAAAAGAUUUUCAGACUUCACUUUUGUUGUAAACCGUUGUUUUUGAAAAGGAGGCAUAAGACGGUUAUUAAUCACUGGUACGGUUUAUCUUCAUGUAUUCUAUUACAGUAAUUCCCAAAAAUCCUCUACUGAGAACCCUUUCGAGGAUGAUGUUCUCACCUCCCUACAUUUUUCCCAUUUCAGGAUAUGGGCGCAGAAGUUACGAAGAGCUUAUUUAAUUGUUGUUGUGAUACUCUGUAUUGUUUUAGUUAUGGUUUAUUGUACCCUCGCCUUUAUCUUGAUAUAAUCUGUAAGAGGGAUAGGAAUUUUAUUGAUUAUUGUUUGUAAUAUUAUUUAUAUAUAUUUUUAUGUAUAUAUAUAU
rnacentral:lncRNA from 1 species